CGCGGGGUGGAGCAGUCUGGUAGCUCGUUGGGCUCAUAACCCAGAGGUCGGAGGUUCAAAUCCUUCCCCCGCAACCA
rnacentral:tRNA from 4 species